rnacentral:rRNA from 1 species
UACAGAGGGUGCAAGCGUUAAUCGGAAUUACUGGGCGUAAAGCGUGCGCAGGCGGCUUUGCAAGACAGAUGUGAAAUCCCCGGGCUCAACCUGGGAACUGCAUUUGUGACUGCAAGGCUAGAGUACGGCAGAGGGGGAUGGAAUUCCGCGUGUAGCAGUGAAAUGCGUAGAUAUGCGGAGGAACACCAAUAGCGAAGGCAAUCCCCUGGGCCUGUACUGACGCUCAUGCACGAAAGCGUGGGGAGCAAACAGG